AAUCAACGCUGGCGGCGUGCCUAACACAUGCAAGUCGAACGCGAAAGCCCCUUCGGGGGUAAGUAGAGUGGCGUCCGGGUGAGUAACACGUAGGUAAUCUACCUUCGGGUGGGGAAUAACCAGUCGAAAGAUUGGCUAAUACCGCAUAAUGCAGCGGCACCUAAUGGUGAUUAGUUGUUAAAGCGGGGGAUCGUAAGACCUCGCGCCUGAAGAGGAGCCUGCGGCAGAUUAGCUAGUUGGNGAGGUAAUGGCUCACCAAGGCUUCGAUCUGUA
rnacentral:rRNA from 1 species